AAAGGAUGAACAUAAAAAAUAUAUAUAUAUAUUUAUAUAUAUAUAUAUAUAUGUGCAUUUUUUUUUUUUUUUUUUUUUUUGUGAUACAUUUUUGUUUUGUUGUUCAUCCUAUAAUAUCUCAUUAUCUUGUUCAUAUUUAAAAAAAAAAACGCUAUUAUAGUAAAUAUAAAGUUACAAGAUUGGAAAAUGUAUAUAUAUUUUCACAUAUAACAUAUGCCAUAAAAAAAAUAUUACAUAUAUAUAUUAUAUACAUAUGCCAUAUAUUUUCAUUUUAU
rnacentral:sRNA from 1 species